UCCUGCAAGUGAAGGGGGUAAGGCAAGUCGAUAAGCCACCUCACCAAUUCUUUCCAAAAUCUCAAACGGACCCACAUAUCUAGGAUUCAAUUUGUCACGAAUGCCAAAUCUUGAGAAUCCUUUUGAAGAAGAUACUUUGAGAAACACAUGGUCACCGACUUGAAAUUCUAAUUUUCGUCUCCUGUUAUCUGCAUAGCUUUUCUGUC
rnacentral:lncRNA from 1 species